rnacentral:rRNA from 1 species
UAUGUAGGGUGCGAGCGUUGUCCGGAAUUAUUGGGCGUAAAGAGCUUGUAGGCGGUUUGUCGCGUCUGCCGUGAAAUUUCGAGGCUCAACCUCGAACUUGCGGUGGGUACGGGCAGACUAGAGUGUGGUAGGGGAGACUGGAAUUCCUGGUGUAGCGGUGAAAUGCGCAGAUAUCAGGAGGAACACCGGUGGCGAAGGCGGGUCUCUGGGCCGAUACUGACGCUGAGGAGCGAAAGCGUGGGGAUCAAACAGG